rnacentral:rRNA from 1 species
GAACGAACGCUGGCGGCAGGCUUAACACAUGCAAGUCGAGCGCCCCGCAAGGGGAGCGGCAGACGGGUGAGUAACGCGUGGGAAUCUACCCAUCUCUACGGAACAACUCCGGGAAACUGGAGCUAAUACCGUAUACGUCCUUCGGGAGAAAGAUUUAUCGGAGAUGGAUGAGCCCGCGUUGGAUUAGCUAGUUGGUGGGGUAAUGGCCUACCAAGGCGACGAUCCAUAGCUGGUCUGAGAGGAUGAUCAGCCACACUGGGACUGAGACACGGCCCAGACUCCUACGGGAGGCAGCAGUGGGGAAUAUUGGACAAUGGGCGCAAGCCUGAUCCAGCCAUGCCNNNUGAGUGAUGAAGGCCCUAGGGUUGUAAAGCUCUUUCAACCGUGAAGAUAAUGACGGUAA